rnacentral:rRNA from 1 species
CAAACUGGAGAUGGCGACCGGCGCACGGGUGAGUAACACGUAUCCAACCUGCCGAUAACUCGGGGAUAGCCUUUCGAAAGAAAGAUUAAUACCCGAUGGCAUAAUAGAACCGCAUGGUUUGAUUAUUAAAGAAUUUCGGUUAUCGAUGGGGAUGCGUUCCAUUAGGCAGUUGGUGGGGUAACGGCCCACCAAACCUUCGAUGGAUAGGGGUUCUGAGAGGAAGGUCCCCCACAUUGGAACUGAGGCACGGUCCAAACUCCUACGGGAGGCAGCAUG